AUUGAACGCUGGCGGCAGGCCUAACACAUGCAAGUCGAGCGGAUGAAGGGAGCUUGCUCCUGGAGUCAGCGGCGGACGGGUGAGUAAUGCCUAGGAAUCUGCCUGGUAGUGGGGGAUAACGUCCGGAAACGGGCGCUAAUACCGCAUACGUCCUGAGGGAGAAAGUGGGGGAUCUUCGGACCUCACGCUAUCAUAUGAGCCUAGGUCGGAUUAGCUAGUUGGUGGGGUAAAGGCCUACCAAGGCGACGAUCCGUAACUGGUCUGAGAGGAUGAUCAGUCACACUGGAACUGAGACACGGUCCAGAAUCCUACGGGAGGCAGCAGUGGGGAAUAUUGGACCAUGGGGGAAAGCCUGAUCCAGCCAUGCCGCGUGUGUGAAGAAGGUCUUCGGAUUGUAAAGCACUUUAAGUUGGGAGGAAGGGCAGUAAGUUAAUACCUUGCUGUUUUGACGUUACCAGCAGAAUAAGCACCGGCUAACUUCGUG
rnacentral:rRNA from 1 species